rnacentral:rRNA from 1 species
UACGUAGGGGGCUAGCGUUGUCCGGAUUUAUUGGGCGUAAAGAGCGUGUAGGCGGCCAUGUAGGUCCGGUGUGAAAACUCGAGGCUUAACCUCGAGAUGUCAUCGGAAACCAUUUGGCUAGAGUCCGGAAGAGGAGAGUGGAAUUCCUGGUGUAGCGGUGAAAUGCGCAGAUAUCAGGAAGAACACCAAUGGCGAAAGCAGCUCUCUGGGACGGUACUGACGCUGAGGUGCGAAAGCGUGGGGAGCGAACAGG